rnacentral:misc_RNA from 1 species
GGUUCCCCGGCCGACAACGCGGAUACGCUGGAAGUGGCUGAUGAAAUUUUACAAGUUAACGGUAGCACGUUGGAAAAUGCCAGUCAAUCCGAAGUUAUUCAAUACAUAUAUCAGUGUAUCGAGUCUCGAACGAUAUGUCUGCGAGUGCGGAGGAGGAGCGGAAACAAGAUGGAAUAUUCCUGUGCGGAUGCUCGUCCAACUCGAGGGGAAUCGAUGGGCAAAAGUUCGUGGUCGACGAGUCCGUGGUCGAGGAUGGGCCAAAGUCGAUCGAAUUCUCGGCGAGCGACGAGCAUCUGGACGAGGACGUAGCGACGCACUUCGACCUGUCCACCAUCAAGUUCAUAGACGAGGAGGAGGAGGAGACGGAUGACGAUGAGGUGGCGGUCUUUGAAAAUGUAGAGCUGGACGGGUUCAACGCUGGUCGGGUUCGAGAAGCUUGGGUCAUCGCCGUCGAAAGGCGUGCAAAGGAACGAUUACAGCGGCUGGCAUCUCACUGGAGAAUCCAACCGCGGGAUAUCCAAGCGAUUCUGCACCAGCAGAUCAACGAGGCAGUCGCGUCGACGAGCGGGGACAGCGCGGGCAAAAAUGUGACGGGCAACCAAAUUACCGUGACGCUUGCCGACAAGGAGCCGAGCACGAAUGUCUUCACCACUAAGCUCAGCAACGGUAGCAUUCCUAAGGGGUUAGGGAAAGACGCGAAGGAAAUUCGAGGAGCGAAGGAGGAAAGAACGGAGAAACAACAACAACAACAACAACAACAACAGAGCUGUUCAACAGAGGAGACGAAACUUUUGACACCGGUGCAAGGCGGAAGAGUCGGGGAACGGCGUGCCAGCAGCCCUUUCCAAAAUGGUCAGACAGAAGUCCUGAUCGGAGAAGUGGAGGGCGGCCCAAGGUCGCCGCGGGGAUCCACGUCUUCGGCGGUGAACGACGCCAAUUUCCUGGGUCCACCGGAUGAACGUGACGGAAACAAGCCCAUUUGCAGGUCCCGAAGGCGUAGCGGCAGUGGCUUGACGGACACACACUCGCAGCAGCAGCAACAGCAGCAGCAACAGCAAGUGCAGGAGAACAACAACACCAGCUCGAAGAAGGGGCAGGAAGGGUUGGGCCCGGAUGAGAUGUGGGCCCCUGGCGGGCUAGGGCCUCAUCGGGAGCUACCAGUCGACGUGCCCGACACCCUUCUUCAAAAGGCCUAUCCCAACAAGGUAAACAGCCGCUCGUCCGAUUUCAGGAACGAGCUUCUUCGUUCUCCUCCCCGUAGCGCUAGCGACCUCGACCUCUCCCUAAACCUUAAAAACGACACCCUUAAAAAAUCGCCGCCGCCGCCGCCUCCGCCUCCGCCGCCGCCGCCUCCACGCAUCAACAACCUAGACAACCGCGCUAGAAUCGAUCCGAACAGCGAACCGGCCAUCCGGAACGGUCAGCCGCCGAUGCUCAAGAUCGAGCUGAAGAUCGAGAACCGCCUCGAGGACGAGGAGGAGAGAAUCCGGAAGGAGGUGGGCAGGUACGAUACAACUACCGGUUUUAAACCUCCUUUCAAAGAUUUCGAGGACGAGGAGGUGGAUCAAGAGGAGGACGAGGGGGUGAACGAGGAGGAAGAGGAAGAGGACAAUACGGGGGUAACGGAAGGGCAGAAGGAGUCGAGCGUCGAUCUCGACGUGGAGGAGGAUUAUCCGUUCGCGAAGGAGGAUUAUCCGACCAUGUUGAAGACGUGCAGCGACGACUCGGCCAGCCCGAGAAGCUCCUCCGGCAGAUCGGACAGCACCGCCCCCCUCGACACCAGCCUGGUGUUGAGACACGCGAAGACACGUGGCAAAGGCUCGCCCACCUACGACGCCAGGCGGAUAGAUCUCGGCUCCCCUUGCCGGGGACCCGUCGUCCCGGAGAUCAAGGUGGCGCCACUCUACCAGAGGGCCGCAACGAACACCGCCGCCGCCACCAACAACAACACCAACGCCAGUACCAACACCAACACAAACACCACCACCUCGUUCGACAAUCCCGCCUACGGCUUGGCCGAUCUUCAGGAUCUCCAAGGAUUUUUGAUGAGAUCGGACGAGGUGUCCGACCUGACUCGAUUGAUCGACGCCGAGCAAUGCCCCACCAUUCCACGAAUACCACGUGCCACCGAGCAAGACGUUGUUGCUUCCCUGUCCAGUCCCUCUCGCGGCAAACAGGAUAAGUUAAAAUCGGAAACGAGUAGUUGCCCGUCGGUCGUUUCGAGCAGCAAAUCGACGGUUGGUAAGAAGCAGCAGCAAUCGUCGUCGAGCGGUGGUCACCAUCAGCAUCAUCACCAGCACCAUCACCACCACCAUCACCACCAUCACCAUCAUCAUCAUCGGUCGAAACAGAAGGGGGGGAGAGGCGUGGAAGCGGAGGAGUCGCUGAUACGCGCGGGCUCGAGCGACGACUUAGCCGGUAUCGAGUCGGGCAGCAGCCUCUCCUCGUCCUCGAGGCGGCAGCACCAGCAGCAACCGCAACAACAGCAGCGGCCGAAGAAGAAGAGGCAUCAACAAAUCUCGAGCGGCUACUCGACCCUGAGGAGCGACGCGUCCACCGUCGAUCUCGAGCACGUGGACCGUGGUAGCUUCCUGGUGGUCGGCGGCAAAGCCUACCGCGAGGUGGCCGUCGACUGCCCCCCCGACUUCGUCCCCGUCGCCAAACGCCACCCCGUCUAUCCCCCGCCGAACAAGAACGGGAACAAGAGCGCGUCGCUGUCACGAAACCCGAAACGUGACGGCGGUGGUGGUAGUGGUGGUGGUGGUGGUAGUGAUGGUAGCAAUAACAAUAAUAAUAAAGUGGUAGCGAACGGGGACGAAGGGGGGGCGGGUAUCGUGCGCGCAAAGUACGAUCGUAGUAGUAGGUUUCAACUCGGUGGCAAGCCUGUUACGGAUCUCGUACCAGGAACGCCCGUACUCGGCCCCUCCUCGAACAAGGUAAGAAGGUCCAAAGUGAAGUGUAUGCUUUUCCAACGCUUUCUCUGCACCCUCGUCGCCACGCAUCACCCCGCACCGCGCUGCACGCUUCCGCACGCAACCACGCCUCGCGCCACUAAUCAUCACUCUUGCUCUAACCGCUCGAAAAUGGUGGACCGGGGGGAGGGAGAUGAGGAGGAGGAGCAGGAGGAGGAGGAGUACGAUUCGUGGUCGGUCCACUCCUCUCCCCGCCUCGACGACACCAAUAAUUCUUGCGAAGAAAACGUUGUCCGUUUUUCGAACGGGGCGGAGGGGAAGGAGGGGAGGCUCUCCUUCCUCCUCGCCGCGAAUAAGCGAUCGGCUCGAGGAAGAGGAGGAGAAGAAGGUGGAAGAGGAAGUAGAAGUAGAGAAACGGACGAGAAUUGUCGCAAUUCGUUGCGCGAGUCGUCUCUCGCGCAUGCGCAAAACAGGACCAACUCGAGGCUGUCGCUCGAGUAUCACGGGCUCGAUUCCAAGCUCGAUCUCGAGGCGAUCUCCUUAUUCGAUCUUGGUGGAUCGAGCCGCGUGCUCGAAUUCGCCGAGUCGAGUUUGAUCUCGCGGUCAAACUCGUGGGAAAACUCGGAGGGAAGGAGGGAAGAGAAGGAGGGGGGGACGCCGGAUCGGGAGAGAAGGAGGAUAAUACGUACGUACGCUUCGCGCCAUCGCUACGAUCAUCAUCAUCAUCAUCAUCAGCUUGCCGAGGUAAAUCAGACCGGUCUGAACGGGGUGAAACCUGCCAUCCCCCCGAGAGAUCAAAAGAGGGCACCUGCCAGACCGCCGAAAGAUAACCUACGUUUGUCCACGCAGAACAAUAACGUGGACAGCACCGAUAACGCGAAUGCCGAGCCUACGCAGCAACAACUGCAUUCCAUCAGAAAAUACCAGGAGCAGCUACGUAAACGAAAGGAUGAGGAGGAGAGGCAGGAGAUACUCAAUCGAUCGUUACGCGGAUCGAAGAAGCUGCAAGCUCUGGAGAGCCACGCGACCAGCCUCUCGGGCCAAGAAAAUCUCGCAUACACGCAGGACGAGGUGACCACCGUCGGCCGUCCAACGCACGUCACCGCGCAAGAAGUAGAGGAGCCUCCCAGGCCCCUCACGUACGGAGAGGUCGUCGCGACGUUGGAGAGGCUACAGCUUCAGUUGCGCAAUAUUUCCGGUGCUCUAGGCAUUUCGGGGCCGGGUGUCGAAGCCGAACUCGAAGCGGUGCGAACUCUUCUGGUGCAAAGUCGAUUCGCAUCUGCCCUCGCCACCCACCACAUCCUCAGAAAUCGUUUAAGAUCGAACAAAGUUUUGAAACAUCACACCGAGGACGCCUCCACUUUGGCACGAGACUGUGUGGACAUUCUCGAGAAAUGGCAGUCCUCGUCGACAGCAACAGGUGUCGGUGGAGCGGAAACGAUCGCCGCCGUCGAGGAACUGACAGGAAUUUUGACGAGCUACGACAUGGAGGCCCUCCUCCUCACCCACGACUCCAUCAUCUCGUACGUGGAUGGACUGCAGAGGAAACAGAGUCCCUCGUCCUCGUCGCCGAGCGGUCCACCGAGCCCCACUUCCAGCUGGAGAGGCUCACGGGUCGUGGACAACAUUAAAAUUAUCAGAAUCGAGAAAACUAACGAGCCUCUUGGUGCUACGGUCAGGAACGAGGGUGACGCGGUUAUAAUAGGGCGUGUCGUGAGAGGAGGCGCGGCCGACAAGUCCGGACUUUUGCACGAAGGGGACGAGGUUCUCGAGGUGAAUGGCGUGGAGAUGCGUGGCAAAAGCGUGAACGAAGUGUGCGAUAUUCUGGCUGGUAUGCAGGGCAGUCUAACCUUCCUCGUGCUCCCGGCACCCACGAGUCACAGGAACAAUUUGUCGAAUAGAAGGGAAGAUACGAAUCAGAUACAACACAUACGGGCCCACUUUGAUUACGACCCCGAGGAAGAUCCUUAUAUACCGUGCCGAGAAUUGGGUGUCAGUUUUCAAAAGGGUGAUGUGUUGCACGUGAUCUCUCAAGAGGAUCCCAAUUGGUGGCAAGCGUAUCGAGAGGGUGAAGAGGAUCAAACUCUGGCUGGUUUGAUACCAAGCAAAGCCUUUCAGCAUCAGCGAGAAUCAAUGAAGCAAACUAUCGCUGGUGAUAAAUCGACGGUACGCGGUUCUAAGAAAUCCAGUACGUUGUUGUGCGCUAGAAAGAAUCCAAAGAAAAAGAAACGGAACAAGUUUGGGGCAAACUACAACGACGACGGGUAUCCGCAUUACGCAACGACUGCCAUCGACGAUUACGACAGCGAGGAGGUACUUACUUACGAGGAAGUCGCGUUGUACUAUCCUAGGGCGAAUCACAAAAGACCGAUAGUCCUGAUAGGGCCACCAAAUAUCGGGCGACACGAGUUGAGACAAAGGUUGAUGCACGACAGCGAGCGUUUCGCGGCUGCUAUUCCUCACACGAGUCGUCCAAGAAAGGACUCGGAAGUGGACGGACAGGAUUACCAUUUCAUUUCUCGUUCUCAAUUCGAAUCCGAUAUACUUUGUCGAAAGUUCGUCGAACACGGCGAAUACGAGAAAGCUUAUUACGGCACCUCCGUCGAGGCUAUACGAUCCGUAGUUAACUCUGGUAAAAUCUGUGUUCUUAAUCUCCAUCCGCAGAGUCUGAAGAUCCUGCGAAACUCGGACUUGAAACCGUACGUGGUAUUCGUCGCGCCGCCAAGUUUGGAGAAACUUCGCCAAAAAAGGAUCAAGAAUAACGAGAGCUUCAAGGAGGAGGAAUUGAAGGAUAUUAUAGAGAAAGCACGGGAAAUGGAGGAUAAAUACGGGCAUCUGUUCGACAUGAUCAUCAUAAACACAGAUACGGAUAGAGCGUACAAUCAGCUGCUGACGGAGAUUAAUUCGUUGGAAAGGGAGCCUCAAUGGGUGCCUGCUUCUUGGGUUCAGUAAAAAGAAAAAAAAAAAAAAAAAAGAAAAGAAAAGAAAAUGGAACGGAGCAAAGUUUUUUUUUCGUAACACCAAGCCAAAUUUCGCUGAGACAGCGGAAAGGCCAGUAAUCGAGAGAGGCGGGUUUAAAGUCUGAUUUGGAAAAAAGUCACUUUCCAAGGACUGGUUCUUUUACUGGUGCCUGUUAUACAUUUUAACGUUUCGUACACGCGCGUUAAUUAAACGAUUCCUUGCCAGGCUAUCGUACUCCAAGUACCGCUGGUUUCGUGUAGUCUUCCGUGUCGUAUAUAUGGUGCCAUCUGAAUAUUCGAAGAUCGUCGUCAGCAAGAUCACUGUACAAAGAGCGUCGAAAAUUCGCGUGAUUUCUCGUUCCUUGAUUUACGUAUUCGAGCGGGAUUCUUGACGUUUAAAAACGAAUCUCGAGGAAUCGUUGGAUCAUGACGCUCGUUUUUCACCGUAUCAGCCGUAAUAAACGCUCUGGUUUUUCCCGAGGAUUUUACUCUGCAUAAUUUAUACCGACGAGACGUCCCGGGAAAAAAGUUGCUACUACUUUUGCGCAUAAGAUAUAUUACGUAUAAUAUUUUCCCAAAGAUGUGUGAACUUGAAAGAGAUCAUUCUUCUCUUCUCUUUAAAAAUCACCAGAUUUCUCCAGAAUACACCGAGCCCUGAAAGGAAAAAGAAAAGCAAAAAACGAAAAAAAAAAAAAAAAAAACGGAAAACGCGAAAAUCUUAAAUCUUACGAGAGCAGCCUUUUACCUCGCAAAGACUCGAAAGACUUUUCGCGUUGUUCACAAUUUUCACGAUAAUCCUCCUCCUCCUCCUAAGGAGAGCGCGUCCCUAUCGCUGAGUUUUUUAAGUACAAAAAAAAAAAAAAAAAAAAGAAAAAAGAAAAAAAAAAAGAAAAGAAAGAAAGGAAAGAAAUAUUUCGCAAGACUUUGCAAGUUGUUAACCACGUAAACCACGUUUCCUCGUAUUCGUAAUUUUUGUGUGAAACUAGUAAUUUCGAAGAAGGCGGAACUCAUAAACGUUUCAUCGUUCACUCUAGGCAAUCUCUUUCUCUCGUGUUUAUUUAGAGGAAAGAACCAUAACUUCUAAUCCAAGUAGACCUCGUUAAUACAAUAUAGACUUAGGCUCGUGUGUAAACCAGCGUAAACGAAUUUUUAAGACACUUUGGAAAGAAACAAAUUUUUUUUCUCUCUCUCUUUUUUUUUUCCUGCCCCUCUUAUUUUUGCCUUUGAAAAACCGUUUUUUUUUCUUUUUUUUCUGUCCAGUAUCAAACUUUCAUAUCAGCCAUGUAUCCAUAUACCACCUUCUUUACUCGAUUAGCAAUAACAACACAGGAUGUUUUUCGAAUCGAAAAUCCUCGCAAAAACAAAAAAUAUGAUAUCGUGACUCCUAAACGAAAAGAGAAAAAUUAAAAAAGAAAAAAAAAUCGACGAUCGAUCGUUUUUAGUUGAGGAAAGAAAUUUUCUCAAGAGUAGUUUCAUUCGUUGAUGUCGUAAACCCAGCUAGAAGCGAAAGAUUGUUUCCAGUGAGAGAAACGUGAAAAAAAAAAAUACUAAUUGCUACCUUUUUAGUCCACUAUUUAAGAAGUUACGUUAAGAAAUCACGCACGAUGGUCGGAGUAUUGUGCCAAGUAAUUAGACCGCGUGUCGAAGAGAACGUGAAAUGUGCCAAAAUAUUUGAAGAAAAAGAAAGAGAAAGAAAAAAAGAGACGGAAUGUGAGAGGGGCAAAGGAGGGAAAAAGGAAAAGAAGAAAUACUUGGGAAACACGCUCAACGGCACUUUCGUGUAUUUGUCGUUAUAUUAAUUCUGUAAAUAUUUAUGCACUUGUAUAGAACAAAAAAGAUGAAUGAAUAAGAAGUUAUUAUCGUUAUUAUCGUUAUUAUUAUUAUUAUUAUUAUUAUUAUUAAUAUUAUUAAUUGUAUUAAUUAUUAUUAUCAUUAUCGCUUCGAUUAUCCUCGUUAUUACUCGUCAUCGUUAUCAACCGUACUCUUAUUUUCGACCGAUUGAAACACAACAAGGUUAAAUAACGCGAACGAAGUUGGACCCGUGCUCGAGUACAGCAUCAUUAAUGAAUCAUUAAUGAUUAAAAACCCAUUUAAAAUUUCCCUAAGUAAUGCGUUAACAGCACGCGCAAUGUACAGAAAGUCUGAUCCUUUACAGGAAUGAUGCCUGUUCGAAGUGUGUAUACGCUAUAUUAUUGCGAGUAUUUUUUUCGACAAUCCUAUUUGAUUUUAUGUGUACAAAAUAAAACGUACAACUUCAAAGAGGAAAAAUGUAUGUAUAGGUGCAUAUACUUUGUAUAUACGUAUACAGUACGCACACAUGUAUCGCGAAGAAUCGAAGGAGAAACGAAUAUCAAAAACCGACCAUUGUUGUUAUCACGAGUUAGCUAUUUUUAUGCCUUCCGUUUACAUCCAACCGUUCUUCCCUUCAAACCUGUGUGAAAGUGUACGAAAGUGAAAGAAAGUUCAAAACGAAUUAUACGAAGUA